rnacentral:rRNA from 1 species
GAGACUCUGUGCGCGUGCAUAUCAAUAAGCGGAGGAAAAGAAACUAACAAGGAUUCCCUUAGUAACGGCGAGUGAAGCGGGAAGAGCUCAAAUUUGAAAUCUUCAAGGUUCUACCUUGACGAAUUGUAGUUUAUAGAAGUGUUUUCUGUUAGUAGAGUGGCAAAAGUUCUUUGGAAUAGGACAUCAUAGAGGGUGAGAAUCCCGUAUUUGGUCAUUCUCUUCCUAGCUUUGUGAUACACUUUCAACGAGUCGGAUUGUUUGGGAAUGCAGUCCAAAAUGGGUGGUAAAUUUCAUCUAAAGCUAAAUAUUGGCGAGAGACCGAUAGCGAACAAGUACCGUGAGGGAAAGAUGAAAAGAACUUUGAAAAGAGAGUCAAACAGUACGUGAAAUUGUCAAAAGGGAAGCGUUUGACACCAGUGUUGUUUUUCCGAAAAUCAAUUACGAAUGUUUUGUUUUUGAGAAGUUAUGACUUCAUCGGCUUGCUUCUCUCUUUACGAAACUUUCUUAAUGCACUUUUCGGUUAACAAGUCAACAUCAAUUUCUUUUGUUGUAAAAGGGUAUGAGGAAGGUGGCUUUCUUUUCGGAGAAAGUGUUUAUAGCCUUGUGCCUCUGCAAUCGGAGAGAUUGAGGUCUGCAGCGUAGAUCCUUCGGGGUUAGAUACGUUUGUGCUAAGUUAUAGCUUUUCAUAGACAACUUGUUGACUAUGUUAGUCUUGUAGCUUACUCGCUGAUGCUAUUUUACCUACGCUUAGGAUGUUGAAGUCAUCGUAUCGCGC